rnacentral:rRNA from 1 species
AAACUUAAAGGAAUUGACGGGGGGCCCGCACAAGCAGCGGAGCAUGUGGUUUAAUUCGAAGCAACGCGAAGAACCUUACCUAGACUUGACAUCUCCUGCAUUACUCUUAAUCGAGGAAGUCUCUUCGGGGACAGGAUGACAGGUGGUGCAUGGUUGUCGUCAGCUCGUGUCGUGAGAUGUUGGGUUAAGUCCCGCAACGAGCGCAACCCUUAUUGUUAGUUGCCAUCAUUAAGUUGGGCACUCUAGCGAGACUGCCCGGGUUAACCGGGAGGAAGGUGGGGAUGACGUCAAAUCAUCAUGCCCCUUAUGUCUAGGGCUACACACGUGCUACAAUGGUCGGUACAAUAAGACGCAAGCCCGCGAGGGGAGCAAAACUGGAAACCGAUCUCAGUUCGGAUUGUAGGCUGAAACUCGCCUACAUGAAGCUGGAGUUGCUAGUAAUCGCGAAUCAGCAUGUCGCGGUGAAUACGUUCCCGGGCCCUUGUACACACCGCCCGUCACACCAUGAGAGUUGG